rnacentral:rRNA from 1 species
UACGGAGGGAGCUAGCGUUGUUCGGAUAUACUGGGCGUAAAGCGCGCGUAGGCGGCGCCGUAAGUCAGGGGUGAAAUCCCGGAGCUCAACUCCGGAACUGCCCUUGAAACUGCAGUGCUAGAAUCUUGGAGAGGCGAGUGGAAUUCCGAGUGUAGAGGUGAAAUUCGUAGAUAUUCGGAAGAACACCAGUGGCGAAGGCGACUCGCUGGACAAGUAUUGACGCUGAGGUGCGAAAGCGUGGGGAGCAAACAGG